rnacentral:rRNA from 1 species
AGUUAUGGCUCAGGAUGAACGCUAGCUACAGGCUUAACACAUGCAAGUCGAGGGGUAGCAGGGUAGCAAUACCGCUGACGACCGGCGCACGGGUGAGUAACACGUAUCCAACUUCCCAUAACUCAGGGAUAGCCUUUCGAAAGAAAGAUUAAUACCUGAUAGUACUUUUUCAAGGCAUCUUGAGAAAGUUAAAGAUUUAUUGGUUAUGGAUGGGGAUGCGUUCCAUUAGAUAGUUGGUGAGGUAACGGCUCACCAAGUCUUCGAUGGAUAGGGGUUCUGAGAGGAAGGUCCCCCACAUUGGUACUGAGACACGGACCAAACUCCUACGGGAGGCAGCAGUGAGGAAUAUUGGUCAAUGGGCGAGAGCCUGAACCAGCCAAGUAGCGUGAAGGAUGAAGGUCCUAUGGAUUGUAAACUUCUUUUAUAGUAGAAUAAAGUGAUCCACGUGUGGAUUUUGUAUGUAUACUAUGAAUAAGGAUCGGCUAACUCCGUGCCAGCCGCAGC